AUUUAAUAUAAUUGUAGAUGUCAACUCAGUGAAAAAUUGGAUACCACCAAUCUGAGAAUCUGUUUAUAAAUACAGUGGAUUAUUUAUAGAGGAUACCCUAUAAAUAGUUUGAACGGUUGCUAAUGUGAAUUAGUGAUUGUGGUUACGAAAGUAACUCUGGAUAGCAGAUGUACCGACACCUAUUCGAUUUAAACCGCUGUCUUGUCGGCAGGGCAAUAGACGCUCCAGUGGAGAAUAACCCAGAUAAGGCUUUGACUGGUAAUCAAAGCAGUCUCUAAAGUAAAUAUUUCUAUCAGAGGAUAGGAAUAUUUUGGGAAUACCAAUAACCUGUUCAGCAAUGAAAAUCCUGAAUAAAAGGGAUAUAUAAGGCAAGGUCAAGGCACAAGUAGCUCAAUGCUAAGACGAACAUGCAAAAAAUAAUAAUUCAAGAGGUGAAUUAAUUUUAUUUUGAUAUUCUGAAUGGUGAGUGAAAGUUAGAGGUAAUCAAUCCUCUCAUAGAAUGGUAAAUAAUUAGUUUUCAGUAAUGAAAAUCAAUUAUUUACUGGGGUAAGAAGCUAAGAGGUCGCUCCUUUUGGUUCAGACUUAUCUCCUAUGUGGGUGAAAAAAGUAGGGUAGUAACAGUUGGCAAGGCGAAGGUCUGAUAUCUAUGAUUAUAUUAA
rnacentral:ncRNA from 1 species